GGCAGCCGGCUUGUGCGCAGCUGCUGCUCCUUGCUGGAAAGCUGAUCACUGCACCACUGCUUUGGGUCCGGGGCGGCGGCAGCAGCAGCAGCAGCUGAACAGCCAGGGGUCGCGGGCAAGCACCAGCAGAAACUUGUGUAGGCUGCGUGCUAAAGGGUCUUCCUCCUCUGGUGCCCGUGCGCCCGCACAGUGUUUUAAAAAGCUGCCCUGCUGAUGGAGCAGAAAUAACAAGCUCCGGCUCCCGGCUCCCGUGAGGUAUAGCGCCUGGAGGAAAGCGACUGUCACCGAGCUCUCCUGACCAUGUUUUCUUGUGAUCACGUUUUCCCAUUUCUUGGGACUCUGGGGUGCCCCGCUCUGGACCUGAGGAAGACAGCAGUGACUAGGUUUGCUCACUGCUUUCAAGGCAGAAGCUCCCAAUAACCUGAGAUCUUGAGAAGAGAACAACCACAAAAUAAAAACCAUCUCCCAGACCCUUUCCUUGGCUGGUUCUUCCUCUCUCUAUGGGACAAUGGCUUUUGGAAGGAGCACAGAAUUAGGACUUGCUGCACACCAAAGAAAGGAAUGAAGAAAGGAAGAAAGGAAGGAAGGAACAGAGGAAGAAAAAGCAAGAAAGCAAGCAAAAGCUAAAAGAGUUCUGGAUCUUUGAGGAACCACUGCAGUAUGUGAAAAAGACAUACACUUUCCUCCCCAUCCUGAGAAAGUCACUGCCUAGGAACCUGACUCCUACUCAUGCACUUGACUCUC